rnacentral:rRNA from 1 species
UACGUAGGGGGCAAGCGUUGUCCGGAUUUAUUGGGCGUAAAGAGCGUGUAGGCGGUCAGGUAGGUCCGUUGUGAAAACUCGAGGCUUAACCUCGAGCUGUCGGCGGAAACCAUCUGGCUAGAGUCCGGAAGAGGAGAAUGGAAUUCCCGGUGUAGCGGUGAAAUGCGCAGAUAUCGGGAAGAACACCCGUGGCGAAGGCGGUUCUCUGGGACGGUACUGACGCUGAGACGCGAAAGCGUGGGGAGCGAACAGG